GCGGCUGGCUCUGUGUCUGAGUCUGAGUUUUUGCCUUGCCCCCCAUCCCCCUUGUCUCUGUUGACUAGCUUGAGCUUCCAUCUCACUUGGUUAAUUCUCAAUUAACCCAGUCAAGAGCUAAUAUAUGCCGAUAAGCGAUAACCCCCAGGGAUGCAUGCAUUUAUCAGACCAAAACCCAUCUGGGAGGGCUUGCCCUGGUAUCUCCCGGCCGCUUUGGUGACCCUAGAUAAUCUCUGGCCAAUCGCACGUCCCUGUGACAGCGAUGACACAUUCGAAUGUCUGCACUAUCAACUUGAUGGUACUUUCUGCACGUACCAUAGUGACCACGGGUGACUGGGAAUUAGGGUUCAGUUCCGGAGAGGGAGUUUGAGAAUGGCUACCACAUCCAAGGAAGGCAGCAUGCGUGCAAAUUACCCACUCCCGACGCAGAUAAGCAGUGAUGAAAAAUAACAAUACAGGACUCUUUCGAGACCCUGUAAUUGGAAUAAGUACACUUUAAAUUCUUUAACCCCUUAAGGACGCAACUUCUGGAAUAAAAGGGAAUCAUGACAGAAUAUUUCCGUCAUGUGUCCUUAAGGGGUUAAUGAGGAUCUAUUGGAGGGCAAGUCUGGUGCCAGCAGUCGUGGUAAUUCCCGUUCCAAUAGCGUAUUUUAAAGUUGCUGCAGUUAAAAUGGUAAUAGUUGGAUCUUGGGAUCGAGCUGUUGGUCUGCCGUGAGUCGAGCUACCGCCUUUCCUAGCCACAGCCUCUCGUGGCCCCUGUGAUGCUCUUGACUGAGUGUCAUGAAAGCCCGAAACUGUUACUUUAAAAAAAUUAGAGUGUUCAAAGCCGGCCUGCCGCCUGAAUACUUCAGCUAGGAAUAUUGGAAUAGGACUCCAGUUCUAUUUUUUUAGUUUUCGGAACUGGGGCAAUGAUUAAGAGGAACAACUGGGGGCAUUUCUUCUGGGAAACCAAAGUCUUUGGGUUUUUGGGUUCCG